CGAAGAGCGUCUCAGUAUCAGUGAGCCCCUCUGGUGAAAUAGUGGAGGGCAGUUCAGUGACUCUGACCUGCAGCAGUGAUGCCAACCCACCAGUGCAGAACUACACCUGGUUUAAGAAGAAUGACACUGGAGUCUGGCAGGCAGGAUCUGGACAGAGUUUGAACUUUUCUAACUUUAGAUCCUGGAACAAAGGACAGUACUACUGUGAGGCACAGAACAGACUUGGAGCUCAGAAUGCUUCUGCUAUACUGGUCACAGUGCAAGGAGGUCAGUCACUGAUCGUGGCUGCAGCUGUGGGAGUGGCUGAAAUUUUGGCUCUUGUGUUUCUGGGUGUGUGCCUGAGGAGAAAAUCAACAAAUGAGACAGAAGAGGACAGGCAGGGGAAUAAAAGCCCCAUUUAUGGCAACGUCUCAGGGAUGGCAAUGAGUCACACUGGAACACAGGGUCACCAGCCCCAUCCGUAAAGGAAGACUGUGUUCUCUACAGCACACUUCGAAAACUGGACAUGUGAAAAUAAACCAGGAAGAUAUCUUGCUUCAUAAACUGUGGACCAAUGCUGGUUAUUCAGUGUAAAUUUGAACAUUUCUUUUGAAUGUGUGAGCAUUUUCUGAGUUUUUUCUUGAACAACAGAUUGUCUGCAAAGUAAGGCGGUAUGAACCAAAAAUUUCCUUCACUGGAUGAUACAUUUUAGAGUAUUUAUUAAAACCAGUGAACAUAAACUCUCCUCAUGAACUCAGGUCACAUGCUGUGCCUUUGUCACAUGACCAGGAUGACUGUGGUUAUUGGGUCUGCAAAGAUGUACUCAGAAUGCAUCAUUCCUUUGGCAUUCUAUCAACAUUUACAUGCAUAACAGCUCAUGUCUUCAUAUUGUACACAAAGUAUUAUCAUGAUGUUGGUGCCUGAAAGCCAUUAUCAUUGCUGAAUGUAUUCGUUGGCCAAAUGUACUGGAGAAAUGGGCUUUAUAUGUAA